GAAAUUCUUGAUGUAGCGGUGAAAUGCGUUGAUAUCAAGAAGAACACCGGUGGCGAAGGCGGCUCUCUGGAAUGUUACUGACACUGAGGUACGAAAGCUGGGGGAGCAAACAGGAUUAGAUACCCUGGUAGUCCCAGCUGUAAACGGUGUGAACUUGGUGUUGGCGGUAUUGACCCCGCCAGUGCCGGAGCUAACGCGUUAAGUUCACCGCCUGGGGAGUACGGCCGCAAGGCUAAAACUCAAAGAAAUUGACGGGGGCCCGCACAAGCGGAGGAGCAUGUGGCUUAAUUCGAUGCAACGCGAAGAACCUUACCAGGGCUUGACAUGUAACUGCAAAUCCUGUGAAAGCAGGACUCUUUCGAAGGUGUUACACAGGUGCUGCAUGGCUGUCGUCAGUUCGUGCCGUGAGGUGUUGGGUUAAGUCCCGCAACGAACGCAACCCCUAUGUUUAGUUGCCACCACCGGUGAUGAGCCGGUGAGCACUCUAGACAGACUGCCCGUACAAGCGGGAGGAAGGUGGGGACGACGUCAAGUCAGUAUGGCCCUUACGCCCUGGGCUGCACACGUGCUACAAUGGCCGGUACAGAGGGAAGCAAGACCGCGAGGUGGAGCAAAUCCUCAAAACCGCCCUCAGUUCGGAUUGGAGUCUGCAACUCGACUCCAUGAAGUUGGAUUCGCUAGUAACGGCGUAUCAGCUACGGCGCCGUGAAUACGUUCCCGGGCCUUGUACACACCGCCCGUCACAUCAUGAAAGCCGUCGACACCCGAAGUCGUUGAUCCAACCCGCAAGGGGGGAAGGCGCCGAAGGUGUGGGUGGUGAUUGGGAUGAAGUCGUAACAAGGUACC
rnacentral:rRNA from 1 species